CACAGGCAGUAGGAUAACGUUCUCGUGUAAGCUGGGAAAACAUCAGCUAAUGUCUGGAGGAAAUAACCCACUUCACAGUGGGGAUAAAGAUUAAGAUUUGUUUUUUCCAGUCAUAAUAAACUUCCUCAGAAGAAAAACAAGUUUUCAGGAGUAUUCUAGGAACAGCAGUGUGAAAAACUUCCUAAGAUAGCAUGAAUUUUGCUCCUGUGGAUCCCAUAAAGGGCGAGGGAAAGGUGUCCACUGGAAACAGAGGCUUUCGACAGGUGACCACUACUGGGAACUCAUAAAAGAAAACCAAGACCUCCAAAGAUCUGAACACAGUGAUAUUCGGCAAAAUGUCACGCAAGAGAAUCUCAGUCCUGACAAGCCCUGACGACACACCAGAGGAUCAUCUGGCAGUUGUGUCAGACGGUCUUUGAAGCCUCCAUGCUGCAGUCUGCAAUGUGUGUAUAUUACUUCUUCCAUGGACUAAUGAUCUACUACUACCAGAGCUGUGGAGUGUGACAAUGGUGUUUGUGUCCAGUCUAUCAAACGCCAUUAUCACACUAAAUAGCUACUGGUAGGCAAGACAUCAAUUCAGAAAAGUAUGGGAACUGUGCAAUACAUUUUCCCACCGUGCUGAGGAAUAAAUAACAUUUUUACAUGUA